rnacentral:rRNA from 1 species
AGAAUCAACGCUGGCGGCGUGCCUAACACAUGCAAGUCGAACGAGAAAGUGGAGCAAUCCAUGAGUAAAGUGGCGCACGGGUGAGUAACACGUGACUAACCUACCCUUGAGUGGGGAAUAACUGAGGGAAACCUUCGCUAAUACCGCAUAACACCUACGGGUCAAAGGAGCAAUUCGCUUAAGGAGGGGGUCGCGGCAGAUUAGCUAGUUGGCGGGGUAAUGGCCCACCAAGGCAGUGAUCUGUAUCCGGCCUGAGAGGGCGCACGGACACACUGGAACUGAAACACGGUCCAGACUCCUACGGGAGGCAGCAGUGGGGAAUUUGCGCAAUGGGGGAAACCCUGACGCAGCAACGCCGCGUGGAGGAUGAAGACCCUUGGGUCGUAAACUCCUUUCGAUCGGGACGAUUAUGACGGUACCGGAAGAAGAAGCCCCGGCUAACUUCGUGCCAGCAGCCGC